ACCUAUUCUGAAUUUGGAGAGGCCUGGUUCAUCAAACAUGAAUGAUAUUAAGUCCUGACCAAGCGACACCUAUUCUGAAUUUGGAGAGGCCUGUUUCAUCAAACAUGAAUAAUAUUCAAUUUGUUCCAUCUCGUUAGGAAAUGUCGGAACCUUCGGGUCAGGUUGGGACUGAGGCACCAAUUGGCAGUGAUGCUUGGAGUGAAUCAAUUGCAGUUGGUGGAGGAGUUGGCAUAUUUCGGAUGAUGAAGGCGUGGACUCUAUAAUACUUGAUUGUGGAGGGGGAGUAAAACCAUGGCCAAAGUGGUUAGACAUAUCUGCACCUUUUUUUUACUCUAUUACUGAACUCAACUACCUGUUUCCGGUUCCCCACCUAAACAACAAUGCAGCAACCACUAAAAAUUUACCGUGACGAGUGUUUUUGGUUCCCUUAGUCGGUUGUAAUACUAUUCUUUUUCAUAAAAAAUGUGUUUGCCAUGAUGGUUCGAAUGAACUUGUAACUACAAACUGAAAUCUACAAACUGGAACUCUUCCAUGAACAAGUUUGUGAUGAACUAUAACAACUUGCUACUUGAUUGGUAUAAAGUAGAGCAAGAAGCUGAACACAAGACGAAGCAGGUAAUGCAACUUGUUUCCAUCGUGACUAUUUGUUGAUCCAUUUGCACCCUAAUUUUUUUAUUAUCCAAUAUUGAGUAGCUUUACUUUGAAAACUUUGCAAUAUAGGAUGUGUUCGUUCGUGAGCAUGCAUGGCCAAUGGAAAUACAUGCGUUGCAAGUGUAUACCAAUGCUGCAUACAUUUUGUUCAGAAAACAUGUAGACAAAUCCACCCGUUUCCAUGUUAGGGUUACUGGUGAUCCCUUGGUGUUCCUUGUUGUCCAUGACAAAGCUAAGCAGUGGGCACCUGAUGUGAAAGUUAGGCGCGGCCGACCAAGGAUCAACCGUUACAGGCCGCGUACUGAUAUGAUCAAAGAGAAGAUGAAAUCUGGAAAGAAGGCUGCAAAGAAGAAAGGGAAAAUGAAGAACUGCACAACUUGUGGUCUGGAUGACCACAAAACAUCAGAGUGCUUCACUAAAAGUGCUGAUAAUACAUGCACUGGCUUGUAGGCUAAGCUUGCUGGGUUCGUUAAAGUAUGCAUUCAGAUGUUGGUCUGUAAUUUCUUGCUACAAUUAAUGGCUUCUUGGGUGACUUGUCUACAUCCCGAUGUUGGUCUGUAAUAUUUUGCUAAGAUUUAAGAUCCUGCAUUCACCCUGCCCUUGAGGUGGUAUAAACCUGAACAUGUAUGCUAGAUGAUGUUUGUAUCUACAA